rnacentral:rRNA from 1 species
AUUGAACGCUGGCGGCAUGCCUUACACAUGCAAGUCGAACGGCAGCACGGGAGCAAUCCUGGUGGCGAGUGGCGAACGGGUGAGUAAUACAUCGGAACGUGCCCAGUAGUGGGGGAUAGCCCGGCGAAAGCCGGAUUAAUACCGCAUACGACCUACGGGUGAAAGCGGGGGAUCGCAAGACCUCGCGCUAUUGGAGCGGCCGAUGUCAGAUUAGGUAGUUGGUGAGGUAAAGGCUCACCAAGCCUUCGAUCUGUAGCUGGUCUGAGAGGACGACCAGCCACACUGGGACUGAGACACGGCCCAGACUCCUACGGGAGGCAGCAGUGGGGAAUUUUGGACAAUGGGCGCAAGCCUGAUCCAGCCAUGCCGCGUGCGGGAAGAAGGCCUUCGGGUUGUAAACCGCUUUUGUCAGGGAAGAAACGCUCUGG